rnacentral:rRNA from 1 species
AUACGUAGGGGGCGAGCGUUGUCCGGAAUGAUUGGGCGUAAAGGGCGCGUAGGCGGCCCGGUAAGUCUGGAGUGAAAGUCCUGUUUUUAAGAUGGGAAUUGCUUUGGAUACUGUCGGGCUUGAGUGCAGGAGAGGUAAGUGGAAUUCCCAGUGUAGCGGUGAAAUGCGUAGAGAUUGGGAGGAACACCAGUGGCGAAGGCGACUUACUGGACUGUAACUGACGCUGAGGCGCGAAAGUGUGGGGAGCAAACAGGAUUAGAUACCCUGGUAGUCCACACUGGAAACGAUGAAUGCUAGGUGUAGGGGGUAUCGACCCCUUCUGUGCCGCAGUCAACACAAUAAGCAUUCCGCCUGGGGAGUACGGCCGCAAGGUUGAACCUCAAAUGAAUUGACGGG